rnacentral:tRNA from 1 species
AGGAUUGUAGUGUAAUUGGUUAGCAUAAGAGAUUUUGAUUCUCUUGGGUUGGGUUCGAGUCCCGACAAUCCUG